UUUGUUGCUAUAGCAAAAAUAACUACUCCAGCAGGGUUGUAUGCGGCUCUAAAAGCCCGGCAAUGGUUUGGUUCAAUGAUUAUAUUCGGUGCUUAUGUGCAUUUAUAAAGGAAUGGUGCAAUUUAACAAAUAGGAAAAUGUGGCCUUCGGUAUUGUUCAAGGACAGUUUCUAGAGGAUGAAAUAAAGGACUCGUAGUAAUACUAUACAGACCACCAUUAAGAUGAAUGCCAAGACAGCAGUAACAUCGGUCAAAUAAAUAAAACGUUGAGGAAUUCCAUAGGUGCUGUUUAACAUGUCAUUCUAAUGAUGUAACAAUUUUCAUGGAUCAUGGGAAAUGAAUAUUCUAUUCAGAAGGACAGUGCAGGUUGUUGUAAUGCUAAAAAAACUGCUUGUUGGAUUGUCAUCGUUGGACUUCAUUACUAACGUCAAUCUUUUCACGCAUUUGAGACUGAACACUUAAUGUUUUCCUGUGAGAAAUGUUUCGGCAUGGAAUUACGUACACUAAUAAUAUGGAGAAAAAAAGGAUGAAAAACGUUUUUCACAUGAUCUAUAAUUUCAGUGUUGCAUUAUUUGUUUCCGAAUUGGAAACAUUCAAGAAGUAACAUUGCAGACUUGAUGUUUAUACGCGGUUCUUUUUAUUCUCGUGCCACUUUACAUAUUCGAAGUUUAUAAAGGUCCAUUUGAUUUCAAUAUAAUGUUUGUGAUUGAAUUGUGUAUUAAACUUCAAAUAAACUUCAUAGUUGCA
rnacentral:lncRNA from 1 species